rnacentral:rRNA from 1 species
AUUGAACGCUGGCGGCAGGCCUAACACAUGCAAGUCGAGCGGAUGAAGGGAGCUUGCUCCUGGAUUCAGCGGCGGACGGGUGAGUAAUGCCUAUGAAUCUGCCUGGUAGUGGGGGAUAACGUCCGGAAACGGGCGCUAAUACCGCAUACGUCCUGAGGGAGAAGGUGGGGGAUCUUCGGACCUCACGCUAUCAGAUGAGCCUAGGUCGGAUUAGCUAGUUGGUGGGGUAAAGGCCUACCAAGGCGACGAUCCGUAACUGGUCUGAGCGGAUGAUCAGUCACACUGGAACUGAGACACGGUCCAGACUCCUACGGGAGGCAGCAGUGGGGAAUAUUGGACAAUGGGCGAAAGCCUGAUCCAGCCAUGCAGCGUGUGUGAAGAAGGUCUUCGGAUUGUAAAGCACUUUAAGUUGGGAGGAAGGGCAGUAAGUUAAUACCUUGCUGUUUUGACGUUACCAACAGAAUAAGCACCGGCUAACUUCGUG